UACGAGGGGGGCAAGCGUUGUUCGGAAUUAUUGGGCGUAAAGGGCGCGUAGGCGGUGCGGUAAGUCACCUGUGAAAACUCUGGGCUCAACUCAGAGCCUGCAGGCGAAACUGCCGUGCUUGAGUGUGGGAGAGGUGCGUGGAAUUCCCGGUGUAGCGGUGAAAUGCGUAGAUGAUCGGAGGAACACCUGUGGCGAAAGCGGCGCACUGGACCACAACUGACGCUGAGGCGCGAAAGCUAGGGGGAGCAAACAGG
rnacentral:rRNA from 1 species